GUGUCAGCCGCCGCGGUAAUACGAAGGGGGCUAGCGUUGUUCGGAAUUACUGGGCGUAAAGCGCGUGUAGGCGGGUCUUUAAGUCAGGGGUGAAAUGCCAAGGCUCAACCUUGGAACUGCCUUUGAUACUGGAGAUCUUGAGUCCGGGAGAGGUGAGUGGAACUGCGAGUGUAGAGGUGAAAUUCGUAGAUAUUCGCAAGAACACCAGUGGCGAAGGCGGCUCACUGGCCCGGAACUGACGCUGAGACGCGAAAGCGUGGGGAGCAAACAGGAUUAGAUACCCCCGUAGUCC
rnacentral:rRNA from 1 species